AUAUAUACCGGCCCACUUCCAUUCCUUCUCUGCUGGAUUGUGUAUAUUGAGUUUCAGCCUGGUUCACAGCGCCCCAGCCAGUGUGAUGAAGGAGAGGAGGGGCUCUGGAUGUCAGGAGGGGCU